AACGAACGCUGGCGGCAUGCCUAACACAUGCAAGUCGAACGAGAUCUUCGGGUCUAGUGGCGCACGGGUGCGUAACGCGUGGGAAUCUGCCCUUUGGUUCGGAAUAACAGUUGGAAACGACUGCUAAUACCGGAUGAUGACGAAAGUCCAAAGAUUUAUCGCCAGAGGAUGAGCCCGCGUAGGAUUAGCUAGUUGGUGUGGUAAAGGCGCACCAAGGCGACGAUCCUUAGCUGGUCUGAGAGGAUGAUCAGCCACACUGGGACUGAGACACGGCCCAGACUCCUACGGGAGGCAGCAGUGGGAAUAUCGGACAAUGGGCGAAAGCCUGAUCCAGCAAUGCCGCGUGAGUGAUGAAGGCCUUAGGGUUGUAAAGCUCUUUUACCCGGGAUGAUAAUGACAGUACUGGGAGAAUAAGCUCCGGCUAACUCCGUGCCAGCCGCCGCGGUAA
rnacentral:rRNA from 1 species